rnacentral:rRNA from 1 species
CGAUCCAAUGCAUACCCCUCACGGGGGAAUUCGGUGAUCCUAUGCUGCCAAGAAAAGCAUCGACGCGAGGUUCAAGCCGCCCGUACCCCAAACCGACUCAGGUGGUCAGGUAGAGAAUACCAAGGAGAUCGAGAGAAUCGUGGUUAAGGAACUCGGCAAAAUGCCCCCGUAACUUCGGGAGAAGGGGGGCCUGAGGCGUGUAGGUACUUGCUACCGAAGCGUUUGAAGGCCGCAGAGACCAGUGGGAAGCGACUGUUUACUAAAAACACAGGUCCGUGCUAAGUCGCAAGACGAUGUAUACGGACUGACGCCUGCCCGGUGCUGGAAGGUUAAGUGGAGCGGUUAGAGCAAUCGAAGCUGCGAAAUGAAGCCCCAGUAAACGGCGGUGGUAACUAUAACCAUCCUAAGGUAGCGAAAUUCCUUGUCGGGUAAGUUCCGACCUGCACGAAUGGCGUAACGACUUCCCAGCUGUCUCAACCGCGAACUCGGCGAAAUUGCACUACGAGUAAAGAUGCUCGUUACGCGCAGAAGGACGGAGAGACCCCGUGACCUUUACUAUAGCUUUGUAUUGGUGUUCGGUGCGGCUUGUGUAGGAUAGGUGGGAGACUGUGAAGCUUGGACGCUAGUUCAGGUGGAGUCAAUGUUGAAAUACCACUCUGGUCGCUCAGGAUAUCUAACGACGAACCGUAAUCCGGUUCUCGGACAGUGCAUGGUGGUAGUUUAACUGGGGUGGUUGCCUCCUAAAGAGUAACGGAGGCGCCCAAAGGUUCCCUCAACCUGGUUGGUAAUCAGGUGGCGAGUGUAAGUGCACAAGGGAGCUUGACUGUGAGACUGACAGGUCGAGCAGGGACGAAAGUCGGGACUAGUGAUCCGGCAGUGGCUUGUGGAAGCGCUGUCGCUCAACGGAUAAAAGGUACCUCGGGGAUAACAGGCUGAUCUUGCCCAAGAGUCCAUAUCGACGGCAUGGUUUGGCACCUCGAUGUCGGCUCGUCGCAUCCUGGGGCUGGAGUAGGUCCCAAGGGUUGGGCUGUUCGCCCAUUAAAGCGGUACGCGAGCUGGGUUUAGAACGUCGUGAGACAGUUCGGUCCCUAUCCUCUGUGCGCGCAGGAAAUUUGAGAAGAGCUAUCCCUUACGAGAGGACCGGGAUGGACGAACCUCUGGUGUGUCAGUUGUUCCGCCAGGAGCACCGCUGAUUAGCUACGUUCGGAACGGAUAACCGCUGAAAGCAUCUAAGCGGGAAGCCGGCUUCAAGAUGAGAUUUCCACGCCUUCGGGCGAGAGGCCCCCAGCUAGACGACUGGGUUGAUAGGCGGGAUGUGGAAGCCAGGACUAAAGACUGGUGCAGCUGACCCGUACUAAUAGGCCGAUAGACU